UCAGAUCUUGCUGAUCAUCAGGCAAUCCACACAGGAGAGAGACCCCACAAGUGCUUGGACUGUGGGAAAAGUUUCAUACGAAGGUCAGAGCUUGUUUAUCAUCAGGCAGUCCACACAGGAGAGAGACCCCACAAGUGCUUGGACUGUGGAAAAA